rnacentral:rRNA from 1 species
GAUGAACGCUGGCGGCGUGCCUAAUACAUGCAAGUCGAACGCAUUGAGAGAAGUGCUUGCACUUUUCAAUUUGAGUGGCGAACGGGAGAGUAACACGUGGGCAACCUACCUGAUAGCGGGGGAUAACGAGUGGAAACAUUCGCUAAUACCGCAUAACAAUAGAGAAGGCAUCUUCUUUAUUUAAAAGGCGCUUUCAAGCGUCACUAUCAGAUGGGCCCGCGGUGCAUUAGUUAGCUGGUGGGGUGAAGGCCUACCAAGACGAUGAUGCAUAGCCGAGUUGAGAGACUGAUCGGCCACAUUGGGACUGAGACACGGCCCAAACUCCUACGGGAGGCUGCAGUAGGGAAUCUUCCACAAUGGACGAAAGUCUGAUGGAGCAACGCCGCGUGUGUGAUGAAGGCUUUCGGGUCGUAAAGCACUGUUGUAUGGGAAGAAAUGCUAGGCUAGGAAAUGAGCUUAGUUUGACGGUACCAUACCAGAAAGGGACGGCUAAAUACGUGCCAGCCGCCGCGGUAA